rnacentral:tRNA from 1 species
AGAAUAGUAUUUAAAAUCUAUAAAAUCUAACUUGCUCUUAGAAGUUGCUUAUGCCUAUUCU